rnacentral:pre_miRNA from 1 species
UUUUAUGGACCAGUAAAGAAAGUGGUUUCUUGAGAUGGAAUCUAUUCCUGGUGAAGAUGCUGAGAA